rnacentral:rRNA from 1 species
AUUGAACGCUGGCGGAAUGCUUUACACAUGCAAGUCGAACGGCAGCACGGGGCAACCUGGUGGCGAGUGGCGAACGGGUGAGUAAUACAUCGGAACGUGCCCAAUCGUGGGGGAUAACGUAGCGAAAGUUACGCUAAUACCGCAUACGAUCUACGGAUGAAAGCGGGGGAUCGCAAGACCUCGCGCGAAUGGAGCGGCCGAUGUCAGAUUAGGUAGUUGGUGGGGUAAAGGCUCACCAAGCCAACGAUCUGUAGCUGGUCUGAGAGGACGACCAGCCACACUGGAACUGAGACACGGUCCAGACUCCUACGGGAGGCAGCAGUGGGGAAUUUUGGACAAUGGGCGCAUGCCUGAUCCAGCAAUGCCGCGUGCAGGAUGGAGGCCUUCGGGUUGUAAACUGCUUUUGUACGGAACGAAAAGGACUCUGGUUAAUACCUGGGUCGUAUGACGGUACCGUAAGAAUAAGCACCGGCUAACUACGUGCCAGCAGCGCGGUAA